UAAGCCUGCGAAGGUGGCCUGUGAGGGUUGCUGGAGGUAUCAGAAGUGCGAAUGCUGACAUAAGUAACGAUAAAGCGGGUGAAAAGCCCGCUCGCCGGAAGACCAAGGGUUCCUGUCCAACGUUAAUCGGGGCAGGGUGAGUCGACCCCUAAGGCGAGGCCGAAAGGCGUAGUCGAUGGGAAACGGGUUAAUAUUCCCGUACUUGGUGUUACUGCGAAGGGGGGACGGAGAAGGCUAUGUUGGCCGGGCGACGGUUGUCCCGGUUUAAGCGUGUAGGUGUGUGUUCCAGGUAAAUCCGGUUCACUUUAACACUGAGGCGUGACGACGAGGCACUACGGUGCUGAAGCAACAAAUGCCCUGCUUCCAGGAAAAGCCUCUAAGCAUCAGGUAACAUCAAAUCGUACCCCAAACCGACACAGGUGGUCAGGUAGAGAAUACCAAGGCGCUUGAGAGAACUCGGGUGAAGGAACUAGGCAAAAUGGUGCCGUAACUUCGGGAGAAGGCACGCUGACACGUAGGUGAAGUGAUUUACUCACGGAGCUGAAGUCAGUCGAAGAUACCAGCUGGCUGCAACUGUUUAUUAAAAACACAGCACUGUGCAAACACGAAAGUGGACGUAUACGGUGUGACGCCUGCCCGGUGCCGGAAGGUUAAUUGAUGGGGUCAGCGCAAGCGAAGCUCCUGAUCGAAGCCCCGGUAAACGGCGGCCGUAACUAUAACGGUCCUAAGGUAGCGAAAUUCCUUGUCGGGUAAGUUCCGACCUGCACGAAUGGCGUAAUGAUGGCCAGGCUGUCUCCACCCGAGACUCAGUGAAAUUGAACUCGCUGUGAAGAUGCAGUGUACCCGCGGCAAGACGGAAAGACCCCGUGAACCUUUACUAUAGCUUGACACUGAACAUUGAGCCUUGAUGUGUAGGAUAGGUGGGAGGCUUUGAAGUGUGGACGCCAGUCUGCAUGGAGCCGACCUUGAAAUACCACCCUUUAAUGUUUGAUGUUCUAACGUGGACCCGUGAUCCGGGUUGCGGACAGUGUCUGGUGGGUAGUUUGACUGGGGCGGUCUCCUCCUAAAGAGUAACGGAGGAGCACGAAGGUUGGCUAAUCCUGGUCGGACAUCAGGAGGUUAGUGCAAUGGCAUAAGCCAGCUUGACUGCGAGCGUGACGGCGCGAGCAGGUGCGAAAGCAGGUCAUAGUGAUCCGGUGGUUCUGAAUGGAAGGGCCAUCGCUCAACGGAUAAAAGGUACUCCGGGGAUAACAGGCUGAUACCGCCCAAGAGUUCAUAUCGACGGCGGUGUUUGGCACCUCGAUGUCGGCUCAUCACAUCCUGGGGCUGAAGUAGGUCCCAAGGGUAUGGCUGUUCGCCAUUUAAAGUGGUACGCGAGCUGGGUUUAGAACGUCGUGAGACAGUUCGGUCCCUAUCUGCCGUGGGCGCUGGAGAACUGAGGGGGGCUGCUCCUAGUACGAGAGGACCGGAGUGGACGCAUCACUGGUGUUCGGGUUGUCAUGCCAAUGGCACUGCCCGGUAGCUAAAUGCGGAAGAGAUAAGUGCUGAAAGCAUCUAAGCACGAAACUUGCCCCGAGAUGAGUUCUCCCUGAG
rnacentral:rRNA from 1 species